CUUGAUCCCUUCAAGCACACCUACAAAACAAAUUAAUGUUCUUUAGGUACCCAUGCCAUCUUGGGUCCUUGGGGGUUAGGCAUAUUAUAAUAAUGCGAUUGAGUAAUAUGUCUAUGACGUGUAAAGCAUGCAGGAGCAAUCUGACCAAUGCGUCUACAAUAAUGACAAAUCACAUUUGGGUUAUGCAUCCUUCUAGGUUUAUAGUAACUAGACGGAUGAAAUUUUCUAACUCUAUUUUGAACACUAUGACUAUUUCGCAUUUCAUGAGAAUUAUUUCUCCU
rnacentral:lncRNA from 1 species